UCUUAGGCCCAGGUGAUCAGGGUCGUUUACAGCCGCGUAGAUUUAGGGUUAUUCUCUGUUCUUCUUCUUCUUCAGACGAGCCAACUUCUCGCGUGUUUCGACAUUUCGAUGUUUUUUUUUUCCCCCACCGUACCUUGACACAACCCGCUCCCUUUCCUACCCGUAACGUCUCAUAUCUUCUUUAAUCUGUAAUUUAUUUUGCGUUUUCUCUUCAUUAAUCCACUCCUCUUUCAUUGAGUUUUCGGCGAGACUUUUCGUUACCUCUAAAACUGCCUGGAUCUGCAGCUAGACAUACUCCUUCUUGAUUCUCAGCAGGAACCAAAUCUCCGUGAAGAAGCAGCUUCAGCACUAUAUUGUCUACCGGAGAUGAAAAUAUUACGUGAAGGCAAGCUUUUGAAUCACAAGCCAAAGACCAAAUACCGAUUCACCAGUUACAGAUUCAUCGCAUUAAACAUCUUCUCAACUCCUUCAGCCACGAUCUAUUCUUCAAUGUAAAGUUAUCGUCUGCGAGGCAUUGAUCUGCGGGUAUAAAAAGUGCGGUAGAUGUUUCCUCCACCGUCGACGCCAGGUUGCUGCGAUUGUGGGAGGCCAGGAAUGUGAAGCAAAAUCUGAAACCGAAGAAGAUGAAGAACUGAGAUCGUUUGUAAAAAAAUUGCAAGCAAGAUGGAGUGUGACAGAGCAAGCGAUGGAGGAUAACGACAAGCGGCGAAGAGUAACACAGCACUCGGCGGUGAGCAACGCAGCACUCGGCGGAGAGAAACGAAGAAAGCGGCGGAGAGUAACGGAGAAAGUAGUGGAAGAGCAACAGAGCAAUGAACAAGAGGCAUUGAGAUGGAUCAAGUGACGAAAAGAGUGAGAUGGACAGACAUGAAACAAGCGACAAAUAGUGUGACAAGAGAUAGGAAAUGCAAUUGCUGCAGUUCAAUCUGGCACAAGGGAGGUUCAUAGGCUCUCGGACAGGGUAAAUUAAUCACUCUCUUAGCAAACAUAUAACAAAGGUACAUGUCCAAUUGUGCUUAUUUCUUUCAAAGUAGAACCUCAUGAAAGAAAGUUGACACCUAUUGAAGAUAUCAAAGCUCUAAACAUGAAAACAUAAGUAAUUUCAAAUUCUAACAACAUAUCAAAUCUGGAAUCUUCUUUGUAUUUGUUCAAAGUUUGUUAUAUGAAUCCUUCUUUGCAUGUCUCUCCACAUGUUCAGUGCAUAUAUCUGUUUGAUAGGGUCAAACUAAUCAACUAUUUAAGGUCUGAAUGUAUCAUGGUACAAUUGUCGUUUCCUUGGCUUCAGACAAGAAAUAGCAAACAAACACACUGUGUGCAUAGCUUGGCGAUUGAAUUGGACUAAAUGGAAAGACUUUGGCCAGUGGAAGACCGAGGAACUAUCAAAAGAAAAAUUUGUAAUGAUACGAGCGCUCAUACAUUGCAUUUGUAAAUAAUAAUAUUUUUAGCUUAAGCACGUAUUAGAUGUAGCUCUGUACCUUUCAGUUUGUUUGUUUUUUACUUAAAAGUAAUUUUUCUCUUUAUAUAUCACAGUUAGUGUACCAAA